rnacentral:rRNA from 1 species
UGCAGUCGAGCGGUAACAGAUCUAGCUUGCUAGAUGCUGACGAGCGGCGGACGGGUGAGUAAUGCAUAGGAAUCUGCCCGAUAGUGGGGGAUAACCUGGGGAAACCCAGGCUAAUACCGCAUACGUCCUACGGGAGAAAGGGGGCUCCGGCUCCCGCUAUUGGAUGAGCCUAUGUCGGAUUAGCUAGUUGGUGAGGUAAUGGCUCACCAAGGCAACGAUCCGUAGCUGGUCUGAGAGGAUGAUCAGCCACAUCGGGACUGAGACACGGCCCGAACUCCUACGGGAGGCAGCAGUGGGGAAUAUUGGACAAUGGGGGCAACCCUGAUCCAGCCAUGCCGCGUGUGUGAAGAAGGCCCUCGGGUUGUAAAGCACUUUCAGCGAGGAAGAACGCCUGUCGGUUAAUACCCGGUAGGAAAGACAUCACUCGCAGAAGAAGCACCGGCUAACUCCGUGCCAGCAGCCGCGGUAAUACGGAGGGUGCAAGCGUUAAUCGGAAUUACUGGGCGUAAAGCGCGCGUAGGUGGCUUGAUAAGCCGGUUGUGAAAGCCCCGGGCUCAACCUGGGAACGGCAUCCGGAACUGUCAGGCUAGAGUGCAGGAGAGGAAGGUAGAAUUCCCGGUGUAGCGGUGAAAUGCGUAGAGAUCGGGAGGAAUACCAGUGGCGAAGGCGGCCUUCUGGACUGACACUGACACUGAGGUGCGAAAGCGUGGGUAGCAAACAGGAUUAGAUAC